CCAGGCUGGUCUUGAACUCCUGACCUCAGGUGAUCCACCCACCUCAGCCUCCCAAAGUGCUAGGAUUACAGGCGUGAGCCAUGGUGCCAGGCUGGCGAAACCCAUCUCUACUAAAAAUUAGAAAAAUUAGCCGGGCGUGGUGGUGGGUGCCUGUAGUCCUAAGUUCUCAGAAGACUGAGACAGGAGAAUCACUUGAACCCAGGAGGUGGAGGCUGCAGUGAGCCAAGGUCUGCAUCACUAAGCUCCAGCCUGGGCGACAGCAAAAGAUUCCAUAGUAACAUGUCAAAUUUUCGGUGCCGCAAAAGAAGUAGCACUUGAACAUAAAUUUCCUCAGCAAGGCAAUUUACUUCUAUAGAAGGGUGUGGCUCACAGAUGGAGCAAUGGGGAGUGCACAGCUGGACAAGGGAGGGGAAGGGGUCCUUACUCCUGACAGAGGUCGCCCCUACUGCUGUGUGGUGCUCCUGUUGGCUAGGGGUAGACUGCACGGUCUAGGCUAAUUCUGAUUGGCUGUUUUAAAGAGAGCAGCGGUAUCAGCCAGAGUGGCGGGGUGGGUAGUUUGAUGGGAAGGACGUUGAUGGGUAGACUAGAGCAGGUAGCCAGGGGUGACCUGGGUCAAAGCAGGUGACUGGAGCAGGUGACCGGGAUGAAUCAGGACAGAGCAGGGAACUGGGGGGACAGAUGUGAACUACUGAUUAGAACUCGUGGAGAAGGUUGUUUACUGAAACUACCAGGAAAUUAAACUUUAGAAUGGAGGACGAAGACCUCGACACACUGAUUCUUUGUAGAGAAAUUUGGAACUCAUUAUAUCCAACACUGUCUCAAAAAAGAAAUGACAGAAAAAACCCCAAACAACAACACAUUUUAUUACAGAAAAAGUUAAAAUCUACAGAAAAGUAGAGAAUGAGACGGUGAAACCCCGAGUGCUCAUCAUUCAGCUUCAGCGUGAAAUACUCCGCUGCUCCUCCUCUGUUUACGAUCCCACCCUAACUGGAUUAUAUUUUGCUGUAGGAUUUAAUAGCACAUCUGGUGCUGCUUAAAAAUGGAAAUGAUUUUGUCUUGGCGGCAGUAAUGGUAUGGUAUGUUCUCUAAAGGAUUGAUUCUGUGCUGAACAUACAAAAAAAGUAGAACAUAAACGGGUUGGGUGCCGCGGCUCGCACCUGUAAUCUCAGUGCUUUGGGAGACUGAGGGAGGAGGAUUGCUUGAGCCCAGGAGUUUGAAACCAGCCUGGGCAACAGGGCAAAAACCCCAUCUCUACAAAAAAUAAAACACAAAACAUUAGGUGUGGUGACGUGUGCCUGAGGUUUCGGCUACUGGAGAGGCUCAGGCAGGAGGAUCACUUGAACCCUGGAGGUUAAGGCUGCAGUGAGGUGAGAUUCCAGCCUGAGCAACGGAGCAAGAACCCCGUCUCAGAAAGAAUAAAACCAACAUAAACGUCAUUCUCCAUUGCAAUUCUCAUGCAACUGAUGUUAAGGUUUGGUUCUAUAUCCUCCUAGACGCUUUACACAGAUAUUGUUGCAAAAGUAGGAGUGUACCGUUGUGACAGGAAUGCCACACCAAAGAUGGCUCCCUCGCCAUGAGAAGAGCACCUCACCUGAGUGGCCCAAGAGCAUCUAGAGGCAUCUCUCUCUCACGGCAGACUGGGCUCCCCCCUUUCCUGCCGCGUCCUUUAAACGGACCAUUCAGACGUUUGCCUGUGAACUUACAAGUGACCCACACCCUUUCCCCUGCACACCUACUCUGCGCUGCCAAGCAUCCUUGCUCGCUCUCUGACUGUCCUUCACUCCUGCCUUGCAGGACCCCGGGAUGGCGCACUGUCCUCCCACAUUGCACCUGCCUUUCCCAGGAUCUAUACAUAUUCAGAAUUAGCCAGUCGGACUCAGUUUAGAUGAUCCCAAUUUUGUUGGCAACAUCCAAAGCGUCGUCAUCAGGAGCCAGCGGGACAUACGCCUUCUCUGCAUCAGGCCGAAUCCGGGUGCUGACCUUGGCCACAUCGGUGUCCCUGAGCUCUUCACGGCCUGUUGGAUCCGGUGCUUGUCGGCUUUAACCUCCACAGCGAACACAAGCGCGUUGUCUUCUGUCUUCUUCAUGGCGGACUCAGUGGUCAGCGGAAACUUGAGAGCAUCGUGGUCAAGCUCGUUUCUCCUGGGGACGCUCUUCCGAGGACAUCUGGGCGGCCUCCGGAGUCGCCGCGUCUUGGGCCGCAGGAAGCAUCUCACUCUUCCACCCAGGCAGGAGUGGAGCGGUGCCAUCUCGGCUCACUGCAGCCUCAGCCUGGUAGGCUCAAGCGAUUCUCCUACCUCAGUCUCCUGAGUUGGGACACAGGUGCGCCCAGGCUGAAGUGGCACGAUAUCGGCCUGCUGAAACCUCCACCACCUGCGUUCAAGGGAUUCUCCUGCCUCAGCCUCCCAAGGCUGCUGCUGCCAUGAGGCGUGGGUGUUCGCAUCCUUCGACAUUCUGAUGACAAGAGCAAUUCCGCUGUGGAGCAUUUGCGAAUCCCAAUGUCCGCGUGUACCCAAGACCAAGUCAGACUCUCUGAAGGAGGAACUGAGACGUGAGUGUUUUCUGAUGCUCCUGAAUGAUUCAGAGGGACAGCCCAGGUCUGUAACCACUGACCGUGGCCCGAGAGCUUUAAGUGCCUUCUUUGUGACAGAAGUGGUUUUGGAAUCUCCCUCCCUCAAUUUGCAAUUCAUGGAAAGCUUAGAGCAGCCGCCUCUGACGAUUUUCUUACCUACAGAGUGGUGGAUGUUGCAUCAGAAUAUUCCUCUUUUGAGUCGGAGUCUUGCGUUGUCACCCAGGCUGGGGUGCAGCUGCACGAUCUCGACUCACUGCAACCUCCAACACCCAGGUUCAAGCGAUUCUCACGCCUCAGACUCCUGGGU